rnacentral:hammerhead_ribozyme from 1 species
AUAUAGCUGAAGAGUCCCAGAAAGGAUGAAACGCGCGUCAUAGAU